rnacentral:rRNA from 1 species
GCCCUACGGGACGCAGCAGUGAGGAAUAUUGGUCAAUGGGCGGAAGCCUGAACCAGCCAAGUCGCGUGAGGGAAUAAGGCCCUACGGGUCGUAAACCUCUUUUGCCGGGGAGCAAGGGCGGGGACGUGUCCCGGCCCGGAGAGUACCCGGAGAAAAAGCAUCGGCUAACUCCGUGCCAGCAGCCGCGGUAAUACGGAGGAUGCGAGCGUUAUCCGGAUUUAUUGGGUUUAAAGGGUGCGUAGGCGGGCUUUUAAGUCAGCGGUAAAAAUUCGGGGCUCAACCCCGGCCGGCCGUUGAAACUGGGG